UUAUUUUUACAAAUGUAAUUUUAUUUUUCUUACAUAAGUAAUACUUUUUAUUUUUGAAAUCUUAGAAACUAUAGUUAAACAAUCAGAAGAGAACUGAAAAUAUCUAUAAUUACUACUGCACCAAUGACAUUGAUUUGUAUAACUUCCAGGUCCUUCUGAGAAUACGUUUUGAUGUAGGUAUAACAUUAUUAAGUAGAUAAGCUUCACAUUCUUAUACUGAGAAGAUCCCCUGGAAAAUACGGGGGUUAGAAGGAAAAACAAAUGCUUUUGGGUAGAUACGUUUAGCAGCAUUAAUAUCAAACUGUUCACAAAAGUUCUGCCACUUGAAUAUCGCUUUAGCCAUUUUUUUGCAAAACAAUAAAAAAAAGAAAGAAAGAAAGAAAGAGAAAAAAGAGAAGGUGUGUGCUGUGUGCCAGGCUGCUGUGAUGCAAAUACCGUCAGUCGACAUAAAGUAACGGCCAGAAUGAAAACCCCAAACACAUAUGGCUGGUAGAAUAUCUGUGGCUAAUAAUUAUUUUUAAGGUUUUUUUUUUGAGAGAGAGCACGCGCACAUGCAUAAAUAAAACAUUGAAAAAUAACAGUAAGUCCUUUUGAACUUACUUUGCUUAAGAAGUAGUGGACCAAAGGGAAACAUUCAAAUAUCAUCUGGAUUGAAUCUAAACCAAACUCAUAGUCCUUUUGAAUUUCUGCUCUGAGGAUCUGUGAGACUGAAGCAGGGUUCUCCACAUAUGCAGAGAUAGAUGAAGGGUUUCUGGGUCGUGCUGUGAGCGUAACUGGUCAUCAGAGGAAGUGGUACAGUCUGUCCGUAGGCUAGAACACACAGAGCGAUCUCUACGUGUACUUUGUAUCUGGUGCUGCAAAGGCUUUAGGGAUAUGGGGUGAACAACACAGAAAUGCAUUCCACCCUCCUUGAGUUCACUGUCCAGUGAGAUGACCAUUAAACAAACAAGUACUUAGUCCCAAAGGAGAACAAAUGACUUCAGUAGUGAAUAACUGAAGAACCAAUCUUUGUCUCCAAGCUUCAGAUGAAACCUCCCGGAGGAUCCAGUGGAAUGCCAAAGGUGAAGGAGGAGUUGGUCCCCACCUCAGCCCUUCCCCGGAACUUCUGGCAAGAGGCAACAGAACACCGAAGGCUCAGAGGCAGACAUUCACAAAACUAUAGGAAGACCUCUGUGGCUAAAGAAUAAGUGAAGGAGAGGGAAGAGGUAAGCCUUCAAUUUGUAAUCAGGGGAUCGUCCUGACACCGAGAACUUCUCCAUCUCACUGACAUGCCUCCAUCGAUACUGGAAUUGUUUCCUUAAAGGAACAUCAUGCCUAUCUCUACAUGGGUCCACACAGCUUUCAAGCAGAAUAGGGUAUCUGGUUAGUCUUUAUAAAUCUAAAUGGAAUAACCAGGACCCACGAGUAGAAGCUCCAGUCAUGUCUACUCAUUCCUUGGACUUAAUAAAAGGGAUACAUCCCUGGAAAUUCAAGCUGUCCAACAAAUGAAUGAGCCGUCUGGCAAGAUCUGACACAAGUGUGCACUGGCCUGGAUCCACCUCCUCUUGGUUAAGGAGCCAUCUCUACAGUCAUCCUCUGUCCUGGGCAGUGGCAAGUGUGGAUUUUCUUAGCCCAGGCCAGCUGACCUCAGACACCAGCGUUAUCUGCGGAGACCGACCCCAACCUGCUCUUGGCACGCCGAGAUGUUGACAACACCUCUUCUUCUGCUGCUGGGAGCAGAUACAGUCUGCAAACACCAUCACACCAUCAUGAGAAUUCUCUCGGCCUCUUCCCACACCACGGACCCGUCCACACAGCAUUACCAUCAGGCAGGCAAGCUGAGGCAGCAAGAAUCUGCUUAUGCUGACAGCCGACGCGUGGGUGGGUAGGCACCGUGCCCUAGAAGCAAGUACUAUUAAGGCUUAAGGAUGCAGGCUUGAAUUUAUGUAUUUGUAUAAGAUCAACCCCCCCUCCUUCCUUUGUUCUGUCUCUGCGCUCCCUCAUUUCCCUUGAAUCUCUUUCAUGAUGGUGGUACAAUAGUACCUACUCCAGGGUGCUGUUAGGCACUUCUUCCCAUUAGCAUUUCAUUGUUCCAUAGGUUUUAGGUGUUCCUGUGCCCUGCUAGCCUGAGGACACCAGAAACUGUUCCAAUGGUCACUUCUACCAGUUAGUGUUGACUACAUAACAAAUUGCCCCUUGAUGGCUUAAAAUAACAACCAGUUUUUAGCUCGCAACUCUGCCCUUUGGCCAUUUGGACUGAGUGCAUGUAGAUAGUUCUGGCUGGGGAUUCGCUGGUUGAAGGGCCUCAGUUGAAACGGCUUAUCUCUACUUUGCACGGUUUCUCAUCUUCCAGCAGGCUCUCCCAGAAUGGUCACCUGGUGACUGCAGUUUUCCAAGAACAAAACAUCGGAAGUUGCAAGGCCUCUUCCCCCCACCCCUAGUUUUGUUGAGAAAUAAUUGGCAUAUAUCAUUAUAUAAGUUCAAGGUGUAGCACAUGAUGGUUUAAUGGGAGAAACCAUUAAACCAUGGUUUAAUGAGCACCACAAUAGGUUUAGUUAAUAUCCAUCUUCUCAUAUAGAUACAAUAAAAAGAAAAAAAUUCUUACGACGAGUGUUCUUAGGAUUUACCGUCUUAACGAUUUUCCUAGAUAUCAUCCAGCAGCGUAGCUAAAGUCAUCAUGUACAUUACAUCCCUAGUGCUUAUCUAUCUUACUACUAGAGGUUUGUACCUUCUGACCACCAAUUCCCUCUCCCUUCCCUCUUGCCUCAAGCAACUACAAGGCUUUUUCCAUAUCUCUUUUCUCACCAGUUUGAUUUUUUAAAUUUUUUCAUUAGAGUCUACAUAUAAGUGAGAUCAUACAGGAUUUGUCCAUCUCUGACUUAUUUCACUUAGCAUAAUUUCUU